CGCCUGGGGAGUACGGGUGAGGUAGUGGCUCACCAAGGCGACGACGGGUAGCCGGCCUGAGAGGGCGACCGGCCACACUGGGACUGAGACACGGCCCAGACUCCUACGGGAGGCAGCAGUGGGGAAUAUUGCGCAAUGGGCGAAAGCCUGACGCAGCAACGCCGCGUGCGGGAUGAAGGCCUUCGGGUUGUAAACCGCUUUCAGCAGGGAAGAAGCGCAAGUGACGGUACCUGCAGAAAAAGCACCGGCUAACUACGUGCCAGCAGCCGCGGUAAUACGUAGGGUGCAAGCGUUGUCCGGAAUUAUUGGGCGUAAAGAGCUCGUAGGCGGUUUGUCGCGUCUGCUGUGAAAAUCCGAGGCUCAACCUCGGACCUGCAGUGGGUACGGGCAAACUAGAGUGCGGUAGGGGAGAUUGGAAUUCCUGGUGUAGCGGUGGAAUGCGCAGAUAUCAGGAGGAACACCAAUGGCGAAGGCAGAUCUCUGGGCCGUAACUGACGCUGAGGAGCGAAAGCGUGGGGAGCGAACAGGAUUAGAUACCCUGGUAGUCCACGCCGUAAACGGUGGGAACUAGAUGUGGGGUCCGUUCCACGGAUUCCGUGUCGCAGCUAACGCAUUAAGUUCCCCGCCUGGGGAGUACGG
rnacentral:rRNA from 1 species